GGUCAAGAGUCCCAGCGACAAGCCCCGGCUUGCUGGGCGGCAACCCUCCUCGCGGUGGGGUGCCCCGGGUGAAGACACGGCACGUCGGCGCCGACGUGCAAGCGCGACUC
rnacentral:ncRNA from 2 species